CCCCCUCCAUCCUCUCCCCAGCCAAAGCCAUCUCCUGUCUUGUCUACAGUGAAUAAGACUCUGACGGUGCCAGGUAGGAGAGUCUACAACAAGACCACCGGCUCAGACAGCAACACCAGUACCCACUCCCAGCCCAGCUCUCCGGUUACCAAGACCAGGGAUGUUGUGACGGAGUCGUCAGAGGGCGGGGCGAGAGAGAAUGAAGAGAACCCUGUUAUCACCAAGACGGACGAUGGGAAGAAGGAGGACACAGUGACCUCUGACCUCGCCACAGGUGUGUCAA